UCUGUCCCCCUCCACCCUUCCUACCUAGCAUUUCCCCCGCCGGAAAAAGGCGGGACAUCCCGGACGAUUAACAGCUUAUCUGACCAACGGAGAUAAAAGGUGGCACUUCUGGGCUCCUCUGGAUGGCCAUGAAUCAGCUGUUACCUCAUCACUCGGGCAUGCUUUGCCAUGAUAUGUGUUAAAACGUCCAAUGUCAUUCUCAGAUCUUUUUCAGACCUCUUCAAAGCAGUGCACAAGACUCCAAGGAUUCAUGGCCAGUGGAUUGAAAAUAGUCCUAGAAAAACACAAUGCCUGUGCUUAUUUUUCUGAAGAUCACUCGUUAGAUUUCCCAUCAGCGCUGUCAGAGGGUGAAAUCUUGGCCCCAGCUGAACUCAACAGGAAUUUUGCCACUGACUUGAAUGGAGCUAAAAUGUCACUCCUGCUAUUUGUCAAGGCAAUUACAUCCAGACAAUACUUUAACAUCUGGCUUCAAGUGAAGACACAGAGCAGUUCACUCCCUCAGUCUCUGAAGACAACACAGGACAUUGGCUAUCUCCAUAAAAAAUGAAACAUUUGUUCUUGGCAAGCUGCUUGUAGUGAAGAGGGGAUCCAUCCAGUGACAUCCAGGAACCAAGCCCCCGUUCCUUAGCCUAUAGUUAUUGGCAAUAGCAUCAAUAGAAUUUCUGUCACUUUCUGGGAAGAAUGUCAAAAGCACCCAUCUACUGUUGCAAGUCAUUCUGUUGUAAAAACUUUGUUUAGAACAGCAGAUCUGGCCUCAUCAUGUGGUUUCUCACAAAUGAGGGGGGUUUUCACCCAGUUCAUCUUCUGUUUCCCUAGCACUGGAAGGUCCCUUGUUAGGUCAGGGAGAAGCAUUUCUAUCUAAACCUUCUCUGAGCAUGGUGGUCAAAGUAAGGCUGAAGGACAACUGAUUAUAGGUGAACAAAUGGUGUGAGCUCAUUUCCCUUUCUAAAAACCCACCUGAGACAAGGCAAUAUUGAUUUAUUGCAAAAUAUAAAGGUUAGGUCAACCUCAAGUGGGGCACACCUUUUCCUCGUAGGAAAAAAUAAAAUCUUAUAUAUAGAACUAUUUGAUCAGUGGUGAUUAAAAAAUCUAUUUGAACGGGAAGAAUCACAGGAUCAUGGAAUGGUUUUGCUUGGAAGAGAUAUUGAAGAUAAUCCAGUUCCAGCCCCAUGCUGUGGGCAGGGACACUUUCCACUAGACCAGGUGGCUUCAAGCCCCAUCCAGCCUGGCCUUGAACACUUCAGAGAUGGGACAUCCAUGACUUCUCUGAGUCAUUGGAUGAUGUCUGGAAGAACAGAGAUGUACAAAGAGAGGGGCUUUGAUGCACCAGGUAGGCAGGGACCUGUUCCCAGCUGGUGAGAUGCUGCACUGCUCACCUGUGCAAAACCAGCUUCCCUUGGUCUCCCUCCAUCCCCUGGGAUGCAAAGCCAAACUCAGUCACCAGCAUCUGAUGAGCCUUAAUUCCCAGCACUUAAAUAAUUAGCUUCUCAAAUGUACAAAAACAACUCUCAUUUUCUGGAUUAAUGAGGGGAGCUGGGUUCCACUGAGCACGGCUAUUAUGGAGCUGCUAAUGCAGCGUUUGAUUCCGUGGCUGCCGCUGAGCACGGCGCGAUCGGCCCCGGGGACAGCAGGAGCACGGGGAGAGCAGCACUGCAGGGCAAAGUGGAAGCCAGCAGGGGAAACCCUGCCAGUGCUUUGUGGGUUUAUGCAGGGGAGGGAUGCUUUUAUUGCUGUGUCUGCCAAGUCUCAUCUGGGUUGAUGAUGAUGCCAUGUAACCCUGAAGCUCAGGCAGGUCCUGAGGGUGGGUAGCUUGUUUUAAUCACAGGCAGGUAGGUUCUGAGGCUGGGUAACAAAAAUGUGGCACAAACAGAAACCUAAAGCUUAGGUAGUCACACAGCAGCUUCUGCCCAGUAGCCAGAGCAGUAGGGAAUGUCAAGGAGCUGGAAGGCUCCUGUGGAACUGGAAUGUUCUUGUCCUCUGUGUUCAUUUUGCUGAGGAGUCAGUAGGAAACUGGUUGCAAAAAGUCAAUCUUGCCUCAUUUUGGCAGGUACAGGCAUCUCAACUCUUCAAAACAAACUUCUGUUCUCUCUUCGGGAUCUUGGCAGAGGGCUGGCAAGUUUGUUUUUCCCAAAUGGAAGGAGAGGGGACUGAGGAAAUGUCAGCCUGCAAAGGCUGCCUUGCUCUGCCCUGGGAGGUUUAACCUGGGGCCACAUGACAUGGACAACUCAACACUGUUAGACUGUUCCUUCCUCUCUCUGUGCUGCUGCUUCCCUGCCUUGUACAUGGAAUGGGGAGGAGAGAAUCAUUGCAAAAUCAGGGGAUUUGAGAUGUAACUGCAGCCACUCAACAAAGUCGUGCAGCUUCUCAGAGAACUGGAGAUCAAAAGGCCUGGAGUGUUGAUUUCCUCAAAUUCUUCAGCUAUCAAAGAGCCCUUCAGUACAUGUCAUUCUUUUCCACCCAUUAGUUCAUCCAAAUAAGUGGUCAUGCAGCCCUGGAUGUGGAUUUGGGGCUAAAUAUCUUCUCACAUUGAAGUUCUUCUCCAACAAUACGGCCUCGAGCACGUGACAUCUGAUUUGCAAACCAAACCAAACCAAAACUUUUUACCUCUGUAAGAAAAGUCUGAAAUUGCAAUGGAAGCCCUGGGUUAGUCAAGAACCUUGGUGAAGAUAUAGCAGGAGUUGAGAGGUUGACAUGGAAACUCAUGGAAGUGAGAAGGUUUAUGCAGCAGUUUCUGCUUUACUCAGUGCAGGCACCAGGGACAC